rnacentral:rRNA from 1 species
AUAAUCUGCCCAGUAAUCCGGGAUAACAUCUCGAAAGAGAUGCUAAUACCUGAUAAGCCCACGAUCUCUUCGGAGAACGCGGGAAAAGGUGGGGACCUUCGGGCCUGCCGUUACUGGAUGAGUCCGCGGCCCAUUAGCUAGUUGGUAGGGUAAUGGCCUACCAAGGCUACGAUGGGUAGCUGGUCUGAGAGGAUGAUCAGCCACACUGGAACUGAGACACGGCCCAG